GAAGGAUCAACCGGACAGACAACUAGGCAUGCCAUGUUUAGAUCCCACACUCGCAUGUGCUUUCUAUUAAGAUUAUCAUCACCCAGUUGUCACAGCUAAUAUAUAUAAUCUUGCAUUACUGUCAUCCAAAGUCAGAACACCUACCUUAGUAUCACAUGAAAAAAGAGAGUACUCCAAUAAGCACAUAUAACAAAGGUGCACUACCGAUUGAGGCAAUUCAGCAGAAAAAAACUUACUACCACUUUUUACCAGAUCUAGCAAUAAAUCCUGAGUCCUGACCAGAUUCAGAAUUGAAGUGUGGAUCUUGUGCUGGUCUCAUAUGCUGCUCAAGAUGGGGCAGUGUGAUUGGAUGGAGAGUUAUGUGGAGUGGUUGGUAACAUAACAGUAACAUGUCUUGGUCCCCCUCAGGAUAUAUAUGUGAGGCCUGGCCUGGCCUGCAAUGCAAGCAAGCAAACUGUUCCCUCUCAUUCCAAGGAAUUUGACAAGUCGACCGGGGCAUGAAGAUCCAAGACUGCAUGAUUAGUUCCAGAGUCCAGACACAUGGUGUCAGCCCUGUCAUUGUCAAUCUAAUUGCCACCGGAUGCAUGUCUCUGUCACCUCUCGCAGAGGAUUAGCUGGAUUUGUUAGAUGCUUUGUAGAAAUCUCCUCUGGGUUCUGUUGUGUGAUUGGGCGUUAUGCCCACAAUUGUUUGCCAUAAUGUUGGAAUCAUUUUCUUA